CGUUCCGGUGCCGUCUGCGACUGAAGGACAAAGAACGCCGGGGGAAAGCACCCCACCGAGCCCCACCCCUCCCGCCCGUGGUCGCACUCACUCGGGCGGGUGAACAUCCCCGAACCGGCUGGAUUUCGCAGCCCUUGAAGCCCGACGCUCAGCGCAACGAACACACCACAACCACAGACAUGAGACGGCCCCCGCCGGGACGGCAAUCCCAGUGCGAGGGCCUGACCACCGAGGAAGGUAAAGGCUUCCCG
rnacentral:ncRNA from 24 species